rnacentral:rRNA from 1 species
AAUACCGCAUAAGCGCACGGAGCCGCAUGGCUUAGUGUGAAAAACUCCGGUGGUGUAAGAUGGAUCCGCGUCUGAUUAGCUGGUUGGCGGGGUAGAAGCCCACCAAGGCGACGAUCAGUAGCCGGCCUGAGAGGGUGAACGGCCACAUUGGGACUGAGACACGGCCCAAACUCCUACGGGAGGCAGCAGUGGGGAAUAUUGCACAAUGGGGGAAACCCUGAUGCAGCAACGCCGCGUGAGUGAAGAAGUCAUUCGUGAUGUAAAGCUCUAUCAGCAGGGAAGAAAAUGACGGUACCUGAGUAAGAAGCCCCGGCUAACUACGUGCCAGCAGCCGCGGUAAUACGUAGGGGGCAAGCGUUAUCCGGAUUUACCGGGUGUAAAGGGAGCGUAGACGGCCAGACAAGUCUGAAGUGAAAAUCCAGCGCUUAACGUUGGAAGUGCUUUGGAAACUGCCGGGCUAGAGUGCAGGAGGGGCAGGCGGAAUUCCUAGUGUAGCGGUGAAAUGCGUAGAUAUUAGGAGGAACACCAGUGGCGAAGGCGGCCUGCUGGACUGCAACUGACGUUGAGGCUCGAAGGCGUGGGGAGCAAACAGGAUUAGAUACCCUGGUAGUCCACGCGGUAAACGAUGAUUACUAGGUGUCGGGGGGCUAGAGCCCUUCGGUGCCGUCGC